rnacentral:piRNA from 1 species
UACUACAGGGCACAGUGGCUCAUGCCUG